rnacentral:rRNA from 1 species
UGCAAGUCGAACGAAGUAGUAAUACUUAGUGGCAGACGGGUGAGUAACAUGUAGGUAUCUGCCCUUUGGCCUGGAAUAACACGAGGAAACUUGUGCUAAUACCGGAUAAGUCUUUACGGAGAAAGCUUUAUGCACCAUUGGAUGAGCCUGCACUUGAUUAGUUUGUUGGUGGGGUAAUGGCCUACCAAGACUGUGAUCAAUAGCUGAUUUGAGAGGAUGAUCAGCCACAUUGGGACUGAGACACGGCCCAAACUCCUACGGGAGGCAGCAGUGGGGAAUCUUGCACAAUGGAGGAAACUCUGAUGCAGCGAUGCCGCGUGAGUGAAGAAGGCCUUUGGGUUGUAAAGCUCUUUCGUCGGGGAAGAAAAUGACUGUACCCGAAUAAGAAGGUCCGGCUAACUUCGUGCCAGCAGCCGCGGUAAUACGAAGGGACCUAGCGUGGUUUGGAAUUACUGGGCUUAAAGAGUUCGUAGGUGGUUGAAAAAGUUGGUGGUGAAAUCCCAGAGCUUAACUCUGGAACUGCCAUCAAAACUUUUCAGCUAGAGUAUGAUAGAGGAAAGCAGAAUUUCUAGUGUAGAGGUGAAAUUCGUAGAUAUUAGAAAGAAUACCAAUUGCGAAGGCAGCUUUCUGGAUCAUUACUGACACUGAGGAACGAAAGCAUGGGUAGCGAAGAGGAUUAGAUACCCUCGUAGUCCAUGCCGUAACGUGUGUGUUAGACGUUGGAAAUUUAUUUU